rnacentral:rRNA from 1 species
AUGCAGCGGGGAGUACUUCAGCGGCAGCAGCUCCUGUGUGCGGUGAGUGCUUCAGCGGCAGCAGCUCCCCUGGGCGCGUGCGGGCACCAGCUCGCCUUCACCAGCAGCCGGCAGCAGAGCAGCAGCUCGACUCCACCAGCGGACAGCAGCAGAGCACCAGCCCACCUCCACGAGCAGGCGGCAGCAGAGCAUCACCUGGGCGCGCGCGGUCCAGGAGGAGCCCCAGGACGGCGUGGGUGGAGGUGGAGGCGGGGGCCGAGGCGGAGGUGGAGGGCGGGGGCGGAGGCGGGGGCGGAGGCGGAGGUGGAGGGCAGGGGCGGAGACGGAGGUGGAGGGCGGGGCCGGAGGCGGAGGUGGAGGGCAGGGGCGGUGGCGGAGGUGGAAGACGAUCCAGCGACCCGAUUCAAAAUUUAA